AAUAAAUGUGCUUCCUGUCCCUGCUCCCCGCUCUGUCUACAGAGAGGGCCUGGGAGUAGCAGCUCUCCCCAGUAAGAACGAGCCCAUUUAGCACCCAGAUGUUGGCUUCUAUAUACCACUUUCCACCAAAGGAACUGGGGUUCCUUAGCGACAUGGCUGAUUCUAGGGCUGAGGCGGGGAAAGUACAAGAUGAAGCUGGAAUGGCUUGUUGUGCCAGAAAUUAAGGAAAUACUCAAAGAAUGGUGGACACGUGCCCAAAUGACCCAGGAACCACUUGAAGGGGCAACCGCUGGCCAAUUAGGGGGCAAUCUGAGAAUUAAUGGUCAACAAUGAUAGUCAUGGAUUAUAAACUGCUGAGUACAAUAGGAAACCGUGAGUCCCUCCUGCUCUAAAUAAAUAAGUGAAUAAAUGGACAGUUUGGUGAGCAAUGGGAUAGUUACCUCGUCUCAGAGUAUCUCCUUCUUAAUUACAAAGGGAGAAAGAGUCACUUGACAGUGGAGAAACCUGUCAGACACCACCUUAAUCAAGUGACCCCAGUUGACAUGAUGGAACAAAUUCAAAGCUAAGUAGGUGCCACCUGGGAGAAUCCUGCCACAGACGAACCCAGCCAUGAGGAAACAGCAGCCAAACCCAAAUGCUACAAGAUAACUGACCCGACAUCUUGAAAGGUGUCCAGGCUGUGAAAGGAAGGCCUGGCUCCUGGCUGAGUUGCCCAUGGUGGGUGGAGGCUCUGACUGUGCCAUCCCCAUGCCUACCAUUUCCUCAUGAAGGUGACGUCGUGGUCAGCAGCAGGGUGAUGAGGGCGAGCCCCCUUCUUCCAGGACCGAGCCAGUCACGAGAGGAGCCAUCUCUGCCGCAGGAAGGGGGAAGAUGCACAAAAAGUGGGCCCUUGGUGAUUUUUAGACCAGUUGUAUCCAGCGUCACCUGCUGCCAGACUCUUGGGCCUCUUCAUUGUUUGGGCCAGUUUGAAUCAUAUCUUCAAGUUCAGCUACACAACACUGCAAGUGAAAGCAUCUUCCUGUGCGGGUGUCUGUUCCCGGGCCUGGGAUAUUGCCAUGACCACCAGGUGCGUGCAAGGUCAUGGCCCUUUGACCUCUGAGCCCCUCCUCCAGGUUGCUGUCAUACCCCACCCUCUGAAGAUGCUGGUAGUGGAAACCGGACAGGCAUCCGCGAGCUCCUGGCUCGGCCCUUGGAACCGGUGGGGCUGCCUUUCUCACCGAGGCCCCCCAC